rnacentral:rRNA from 1 species
GACGAGGGGUCCAAGCGUUGUUCGGAAUCAUUGGGCGUAAAGCGGGUGUAGGCGGCUCUAUAAGUCAGAAGUGAAAGCCCCCGAGCUUAACUUGGGGAAGUGCUUUUUGAUACUGCAGAGCUUAAUGUGGGAGAGGGUAGUGGAAUUCCUGGUGUAGUGGUGAAAUUCGUAGAUAUUAGGAAGAACACCAGUGGCGAAGGCGGCUCACUGGUCCGGUACUGACGCUGAGGUGCGAAAACGUGGGGGAGCAAACAGGGAUUAGAAAACCCC